rnacentral:rRNA from 2 species
UGCCUGGCGGCAGUAGCGCGGUGGUCCCACCUGACCCCAUGCCGAACUCAGAAGUGAAACGCCGUAGCGCCGAUGGUAGUGUGGGGUCUCCCCAUGUGAGAGUAGGGAACUGCCAGGCAU